rnacentral:rRNA from 1 species
UACAACUUUCAGCAAUGGAUCUCUUGGUUCUCGCAUCGAUGAAGAACGCAGCGAAUCGCGAUAAGUAAUGUGAAUUGCAGAUUUUCAGUGAAUCAUCGAAUCUUUGAACGCACCUUGC